AGGACAAACGCUGGCGGCGUGCAUAACACAUGCAAGUCGAACGAGUGCAGCAAUGCACGAGUGGCGGACGGGUGAGGAACACGUGGAUGAUCGACCCAGCGCUGGGGAAUACCCCUGGGAAACCAGGGCUAAUACCACAUGCGCUCUGCUGUGUCAGACAGCAGAGGAAAGCCUUCGGGCGGCGCUGGACGAGUCUGCGCCCGAUUAGCUCGUUGGCGGGUAACGGCCCACCAAGGCUGCGAUCGGUAGCUGGUCUGAGAGGAUGAUCAGCCACAUUGGGAUUGAGAACGGCCCAAAUCCCUACGGGGAGCAGCAGUGAGGAAUAUUCGGCAAUGGGCGCAAGCCUGACCGAGCGACGCCGCGUGCGGGACGACGCUUUUCGGAGUGUAAACCGCUUUUCUAUUCGACGAGACAGGACGGUAGAGUAGGAAGAAGUCUCGGCUAACUACGUGCCAGCAGCCGC
rnacentral:rRNA from 1 species